GCAGUUCCUACUAUCUCUGAAACGACUGUGAACUAUCCGUUUUUGCAAAAGGGGGUUUGUUUGCAAAAUUGAUACAGAAAAAGUGUUACUGAUUACAUAGUUAGAGAAAGGCAUAUAUCGGUGGGUAAAGCACAGGUCAACAUGGUGCCGUGGCUCAGUCAGUUAACGUGGCUGUCGAGUAAACAGGCGAUCCUGGGUUCACAAUCCCAGUGGUGCCUGCACUUUGUGUUUACCGUUACAUGUUAAAACUUCUCUCGAUUGUUGAUCUCUAUCAUGAUAGAACUGGGCAUGCCUUUCUGGAGUUUGUUCAGAAUAACAGGGUGCAGCUGGACAAACUACAGCCUUAUUGGGGAGUGUUGUGUUAAUGGCACACACCAUGGGUUGAUCAGCCUCUUUGUCUCCUGAUGCUAUUCUUUCGCUUUACACCAACAGGUGAGACAUCAUCGCAAACGAAUGAUUGCGGUGGCGGUGCUUUUGCUUUGCUGGUGGAUUAGGAACUCUACUUCAAAGUUUAACAGCUCAUCGUAUUUUUAGGGAAGAAAUGUCUCCUUACCUCAGGCCUAAGGGACAGAGACAUUAUCCGAAUAAUAUUAGCCCAGUUCGAUAUUCUACAGUCGGUGGUGUGGGGGGUGGGAGAAGCCUCUCAGCAGCUCUACUGUCAAACACUCUCCGAAUUACGGACUUUUCAAAGAGCAGAAAUCGGAAAUGAGGUAUAUGGACAGACGGAGAGUGAGAGAACGUGAAAGGGCUGAGGUGGAUACAAAGAGACAAUGUGAGACAAAUAGGGAAACAUAUUGAGGUAGGCUGUGAAAGGAACCAAUUCUCCAUUUGACAUGUAUGCUAACUGACAUUAAAGGAAAGGAAAAGACAACCAUUUAAGCAGAACCUUUCCCAAACUCAGGACAAAAGAAGCAGCAUUAGAGCCGAUAAAGUCCUUUUAAAGUUGUAACGUUAUCGGUUGGAAACUAAGGAGAUGUUUUGAUAAAUAUGUUGAUACGGCAGAUAAAAGUGAUAAUUUCCCAGAAGUUAUAAUAUAGAAGUGCACAACUAACCUGGUUCUGACGAACAGACAGUUGAUCUGAAGCGUUAACUCUGUUUCUCUCCACAGAUGCUGCCAGACCUGCUGAGGUUGUCUGUCAAUUGCUGUUUCUGGUUCAGAUUCCCAGCAUUCUCAUUUCGCUGUUACAUGUCAGCUUGAAUAUCAUUUGGGAUAGAAUAGGAUAUCUCGCGUCUCUUCUCCUGCUUCUGAAAAUCAGUCAGGAGUGCCAUGGGCAGAUCAGAAUCACCCAGUGUUUGAGUUUUUACAACGUGGAAAAAAGACCAUUCGGCCCAUCGUGUCAGUGCGAGUCACCACGCAUCCAUCUAUUCUAAUCCCAGUUUCUAGCAUUUGGCCCACCGUCUUUUGUGUCCUUAAGUUUCAACGGAAAAUGUCAAUGAGAUUAUGCCUGUAAUCAACAAAUGGAACUGAAGUUUGAGAUGAUAAAACUGUUUUAAAACCCCCCUUGAAGAACUCAUCCUCAUGUUAAGCCACGGAUGGAGACACACAGACACAUCCCCUGAGAGUGGUGGGCACGUGGAAUGCGCUGCCGGCAGUGGUAGUGGAGUCAGAUACAUUAGGAACAUUUAAGCAACUCUUGGAGAGGCACAUGGAUGGUAGUAAAAUCUAGUGUGAGUGCAGUUUGAUCUUAGCAGGAUAAUAGAUCAGCACAAAUCGUGGGCCGAAGGAUCUGUACUGUGCUGUCCUGUUCUAUGAUUAUACGCGCUCUAUCUCCUUCACGUCCACUCUCCGUCGCCGCAUAUAAGGUUCCCUGAAAAAAGGCAACUUUACAUGCAACGCAAGAAAGUUCUCCUGACAAUGGGGACUGUUGCCAUGAGCUGCGAUAAGAAAUGGACAGUGAGCUGAAAUAGUCCCACACUCAUGUUGCUCAUGUGAAACUUUCAAUUUCCCAAACCCAGCGAUACACUUCAGCUGCUGGGAAUCGUAGAAAAACAGCGCUGGGUACACAUUCCUCGUUGGAAGCAACUGUCAGUUUGCAAGGCUAGAAAAGCUAUCAACUUCAGUCAAGCGAGGGAGGAUACAACAUUACAAUCUUCCAAUUCAAAGUUAGAUGCCUUAACCAUUACACCACUGGCUCAAUACAUAUUGCAGCCGGGUUCAUCCUGUCGACUUGUGAUGUUAACAGGGACAUUGGAAGGAAGAACAUUCACAGGUGAAUUACUAGCAAAUAUAAUUUCCGUCACUGCUUCACUUCGCUAAUCGGUGAAUUUCACCGGCAAAAGAAACAUAUUUGCUGUCAGAUGCCUGGUUCACUGGAACCUCUUUCUCUGGGACCUGUUUCUCUGCUGGAACUUUCUUCACAAUCACUGCGCAAUUUUAUGACCCGCUCCAGUGAAAUAUAUGUUUAUAUUUGAGUUAUGGUCUCUUCGAGUCAAGACCCUGAACAAAUUCAGUGAGAAAGCUCUGAUCGUUUCUAGCCAGGGCUCUGGAAUCAGACGAGUUGAACGAUGCCAUUAUUGGUGGCGCCCCUUCAUCAGACCUCAGCACCUCGAAACAAGCUCCUGUUAGCAUCAGCCUGUUAGCUCUGGCGUGAAGAUAGCUCUGGCAUGAAGAACAGGCACAAAUGUAAGUACAAAUCAGGUCACAAGGGUUAAUGCCAAGACCACUGUUCCCUGGUUAACAUUCAGAGUUUGCAUUGCUCAGGCCUGGUCAGCAAAUAAAGAUUGACUUCUCUUCUUGUGAAUUAUCCGAAUGAAAAUGAAUUCCUGGUAACACACAGAACACAAACGCUGAAUCUGCCAAAAGCAGACCAAUGAGAUUUUUGCCUCCAUGUUGAAGGACAAUGACAGGCGAUGUACGGGAAAACUGCCACUGCACAUCCCUCUCUAAGCUCCUCAUCAUUCUGAGUUCGAAAUAUGUCGCUGUUCGUUCAGUGUCGCUGGGUCUAAAUCCUGGAACUCCCUCCCUAACGGCAUCACGGCUGUUCCUACGUCCUAAAUAAUUCAAUUGUUUAAUAAUGUAACUCAUCACUGCCAUCUCUGCAGUAAUUAGGGAUGGGUAGUAAAUUCUGCCAUAGUGCGUGAUGUCUGACGAGUGCCAUAGCUUAGCUGAUUACCUCGUAAAUAGGCGAUUCUAAGUUCAAAUCCCACCCCAGUCGACGCUUUGCAUCCACCAUUCCUCGUGUAAACUUCCCUCCGAUAUGAUGUUUUUGAUCCAAUCAGCAAUGUCGAUGGAUCGAAUCGAGCAUUCCUUCCUGGAGUUUGGUUGAAAUAACAGAAUGAGGCAGGAUAAACUGCAUCCUUACUGGGGAAUGUUGUGGUGAUGGCACAGAUACCACGAGCCGAUCACUCUCAUUCUGUGCCUUCAGCAUUCAUUCACUUUACACCGACAGGGGAGACAUCAUUGCAAUCGUAUGAUUGUGGUGGCGUUGCUUUUUCUUUCCUACAGGAUUAGGAAGUCUAUUUCAAAGACUAACAGCUCAUUAUAUUUUGAGGAAAGAAAUAUCUCCUUACUUCAGACCUAAGGGACAAAUGCAUUAUCCGAAUAAUUCAGCCCAGUUCUAGACUCGACAGUCGGCGGCGGUAAAGGCCUCUCAGCACCUCCACUCUCAAAUAUUCUCCCAAUUUCAGACUUUUCAAAGAGCAGAAAUGGGAAGUGAGGGAUAUGUACAGAUGGAGAGUGAAAGGGGCUGAGGUGAAUACACAGAGAUAAAGAGAGACAUAUAGAGGCGCAUAUCAAGGUAGAUACUAAAAGGAUGAAUUCUCCAUUCGACUGGGCUGCUAACUAACAGAAAAGGAAAGGAAAAGGCAACCAUUUAUGCGAACCUUUUCACCACCUCAGGGUAAUGGAAGCAGUAGUAUUAGCCCUGAUAAAGUUCUUUUAAAGUUGUAAUAUUGACGGUUGGAACUUAAUGAGAUAUUUUGUUAAAUGUGCCUGUUCGACAGAUGAAAGAGCUAAUUUCCCCGUUGUUAUAAUAUGGAAGUGCAUAACUAACUUGGUUCUAACGAACGGUCAGCGGAUCCGAGGCGUUAACGUUGUUUCUCUCCACAGAUGCUGCCAGACCUGCUGAGGUUACCUGUCAAUUCCUGCUUUUGUUUCAGAUUCCGCAUUUCUCUGUUACAUAUCAGCUUGAAUAUAAUUUUGGAUAAAGCAGGUUACCUUGCGUCGCGUUUUUUUGCUUCUAAAAACCAGUCACCAAUGCUGCGGUCAGGAAAAUCUAGAAGAGAUGAAUUUGCAACUCCGAACCGGAAUUUGAACCCGGACUGUGGUGGUGAGAGCACAUAACCUUAACUACUAGACUAUCGAGGAACGGGAAAAGCAGGCGUGCUUCUUUUCAAGCUGACACUGCUUUUGCCGUUUCAUGUUUUGUUCAUUUUUUCUGCAGAUUAGUUUGUCAGUGUCUUCGAGUUUUCAGAGCUUGGAAAAAUACCAUUCUGCCCAUCGUGUCAGUGCAUGUUUUCAGGCAUCUAUCUAUUCAAGUCCCAGUUUCCACCCUUUGGCCCACCGCCUUUUGUGUUCUUAAGUUUCGAGAGCAAAUGUCAACGAGACUGUCCCUGUAAUAAAUGAAUAGGAAUGAAGUUUGUGAUGACAAAACUGUGUUAACAAGCCCUUGAAGAACACAUCCUCAUGUUAAGCCACAGAGGGAGAAACAGAGACAUAUCCCCUGAGAGUGAUAGAGGCCUCAGGAUUAUAUGCAUUUCAUUUCCUUUACAUCCACACACUGUCCCCGCACACAAGGUUCACCGUCAAAAGGCAGCUUUACGUGGAACAUUAGCAAGUUCUUCGGACAAUGGGAACUGUUGCCAUGAGCUGGGAUAUGAAGUGGACAGUGAGCUGAAAUUGUCCCACACGCUGCUUAUGUGCAACUUUCAAUUUCCAAACCCAGUGAUCCAAUCAGUUCACUUGCUGGUAAUCUGACAAAAACAACGUUGGGCACACAUUCCUCUUUCGAAGCAACUGUCAACUUGCAAGGGUGGAAAAAAAUCUGUCAACUUCACUGGAGCGAGGGACGAUACAACAUUGCAAUCUUCCAAUCCAAAGUCAGACGCCGUAUCUAUUACACUACUGGCCCAACACAUAUUGCUGCAUUUUUCAUCCUGUCGACAUGCGAUGUUAACAGGGACAUCGGCGGAAAGAGCGUUCACAAGGUGAAUAACCAGCAAACAUAAUCGCUGUCACUGCUUUACUUCAACGGCGUCCACUUGGCGAAGCUGUGAAUUUCACUGGCAAACGAAACAUAUUUGUCCUCAGAAGCCUGCUUCCCUGUAACCUGUUUCUCUGCUACCUGUUUCUUUGCUGGAACUUAUCGUCGUUUUAUUCACAGUCACUGCGCAAUUUUAUGACCCACUCCAGUGAAAUGCACGUUCAUAUUUGAGUUGUGGUCUCUUCGAGUCAAGACCCUGAACAAAUUCAGCGAGAAACUUCUGGUUGUUUCUAGCCAGGGCUCUGGAAUCAGAUGAGUUGAACGAUUCACCACAAUGACCCUGUUCCUCUUGUGAGGGUCCCUCUGUGUGUAUUAACGCGGGCCCUGAGAGGAUGAACCAAUUAUCUUUCUACUGUCAGUUUAAACAGGUGAAAUGAUCAGUUUUAAACCAAUGCAAGAGGAGAUUGUCUCUCUCUGUGCGUUUUCAGUAGAGAACGUUCUGCUGUGAACUGUCCGUGUUUGCAAAAGUGGGGAUUGAUUGAAAUUCUCACUGAGCAACAUUGACACAGAAAUAAAAAGUUACCCAUUGCAUGCUUAAAGAAGUGCACAUAUCACGGGAAAAGCCAAGAAAAAAUAGCACGGAGCGCUAUGGCUAAGUUGUUACUGUACUCUGUGUGCUAGACAUGCAGAUCUUGAGUUCAAAUCCUAACGGUUCCUUUGCUUUACGUACACCAUUCCUUGAUUACCCUGCUUUCAGAUUUAAACAGUAAUGCUGAUCAGUAGAACUGAACAAGUCUUCCUGCAAUUUGGUCGGAAUAACAGCGUGAGUCAGGACAAACAGUACCCUGACUGGGUAAUGCUGUGGUUGUGGCGCUAAUCACUCAUUCUCUGCUGUACUGUUCGUUCACUUUACACCGCUAGUAAAGACGUCUUUGUAA